rnacentral:rRNA from 1 species
CACAAGCGGUGGAGCACGUGGUUUAAUUCGAUGCUAACCGAACGAACCUUACCUAGGCUUGACAUCCUAAGGAUAUUUUAGAGAUAAAGUUAGUGCCGUUCUUUGAACGGAACUUAGAGACAGGUGCUGCAUGGCUGUCGUCAGCUCGUGCCGUGAGGUGUUGGGUUAAGUCCGCAACGAGCGCAACCCCUAUUUUUAGUUGCCAUCAGGUUAAGCUGGGCACUCUAAAGAGACUGCCGUCGAUAAGGCGGAGGAAGGUGGGGACGACGUCAAGUCAUCAUGGCCCUUAUGUCUAGGGCUACACACGUGCUACAAUGGGUUAUACAGAGGGCAGCUAGCUCGCGAGAGUCUGCGAAUCCCUUAAAGUAAUCCUCAGUUCGGAUUGUAGUCUGCAACUCGACUACAUGAAGUUGGAAUCGCUAGUAAUCGCAGGUCAGCAAAACUGCGGUGAAUACGUUCCCGGGCCUU